UGACUGUGCGAAGGUAGCAUAAUAAUUUGCCUUUUAAUUGAAGGAUGGAAUGAAUGGUUGGACGAAGAUAAAGCUGUCUCAUAUAUAUUUAUUAAAAGUUAAUUUUUAGGUUAAAAAGCCUAAAUUAAAUUAAAGGACGAGAAGACCCUAUUAAGCUUAAAAGAAUACUAUAAUUAUUGCUAUAUUAUGUAAAUGUAAUAUUAAUGACAACAUUUUAGUUGGGGCGACUUGGGAGCAAGAAAAACCUCCUUUGACUUAGAUAAAAUUUGAUUUAUGGUCCAAAGAAUUUUGAGAUAAAAACAAGUUACUAUAGGGAUAACAGCGUAAUUUUAUUUAAGAGUUCUAAUCGAAAAUAGAGUUUGCGACCUCGAUGUUGGAUUAAGAAGUAAUAAAGGUUGCAGAAGCUUUUAUAAUUAGUCUGUUCGACUAUUAAUAUCUUACAUGAUCUGAGUUCAAACCGGA
rnacentral:rRNA from 1 species